GCAUAUAGCCCAUAUUUGGCGAGCUCAGAGAGUCAGAGACUGAUAGAACUUCAAUGGCUCGGUUUAAUCAUUCAUCAGAUCAUAGAUACGUCUCAAAUCUAUUUAGUCGUCGAUCAAACAUAAAUGAUAAAUUUGAAACUAAACGGAAUACUUGAAGGAUAGAAAGUGCAUAAACGUUCGUAUUAAUUUUUAACAAUACUUUGAAUACCAUAAAAAGCCAAAAAAAAAAGAUGAAUUUGAGAAGGUGAAAAAAAUGAGUCUUCAUGAUCUAUUGUAAAGAUGGCUAAAGUUUAAAGACGAGCUGCGGUUCCAAACUUUUCAGUUGACGGUGUCGUCUUUUGGAUAAAAUUCAGCCACCACGUACCUCCGUGAAUUCUGCGAAAGUCCAUGAAUAAAUGAUAUGCAUCAAUUCACAAUUCACAAUCAACACUUGUGGCUCGUUCGUCUUGGUAAAAAUAUUUGCCAAGUACGAAAAUUGACAGAACUUAACUAACAAAAGCCUUUCUCGGGAAAUCGUGCGCGUCAUAAUAUUGUCAUCCGCGACGCGUGUGAGACUUCGUACAAUAUGACGUAUUAGUGAAUCGACGUUAACAAUGAGAGUGCUGGAAAUAAAUUUCUGAACGUAUACACAUAUUGCAUCUUUCAAAUAUUCACAGACUCGCCUAUCCUAUAUAUUCCCCCGUGACAGAAAAACGUAUAUAUCUACACCGUGUCAGCAAUCUAUAUAUAUAUAUAUAUAUAUUUUAUAUGGUGCCUAGAUAAAAUACAGACUUGGAAUUGCAAAUUGUGAUAAUUAUGGCGUUUGAUUGAAACUAUUCAAAAAAAAAAAAGACGUCUGUUAA